AGGAUUAGAUACCCUAGUAUUAUAAAUCUAUAAAAUUAGUAUAUUAUGAAAUUUAAGGAUUUUGGCGGUUAAUUAUUAAUUAGAGGAGCUUGUUGAAUUAGAAGUUACUCUUUAUAUCUAAUAGAUAAGAAGUUUAUUCAUCUCCGUUAGUAGAUAUAUUAAGAUAUAUUAAAAAAGGAAAGUUUAGGCUUAAUUUCAGGUCAAGAUGUAGUAUAUAUUUAGUAAAAUUAGCUACAAUUUUUAAGAAAUGAAUAUUUUAAUUGAAAGAUUUUAUUGAAAUUGGAUUUAAUUGUAAUAAAAAUUAUAAAGUUUAUAUGAAUUAUAGUAGUUAAUGUACAGAUUGCCCGUCACUUCUGCUAAAAAGUAGGAUAAGUCGUAACAAAGUA
rnacentral:rRNA from 1 species